UACAGAGGUCUCAAGCGUUGUUCGGAUUCAUUGGGCGUAAAGGGUGCGUAGGCGGGGUUUUAAGUCAGGGGUGAAAUCCUGGAGCUCAACUCCAGAACUGCCUUUGAUACUGAAGAUCUUGAGUCCGGGAGAGGUGAGUGGAACUGCGAGUGUAGAGGUGAAAUUCGUAGAUAUUCGCAAGAACACCAGUGGCGAAGGCGGCUCACUGGCCCGGUACUGACGCUGAGGCACGAAAGCGUGGGGAGCAAACAGG
rnacentral:rRNA from 1 species